GAACGCUAGCGACAGGCCUAACACAUGCAAGUCGAGGGGCAGCACAAGGAGCAAUCUGAGUGGCGACCGGCGCACGGGUGAGUAACACGUAUGCAACCUGCCUGUAAGCGGGGAAUAACCCGUUGAAAGACGGACUAAUACCGCAUAAUACUAAAUUACUGCAUGGUAAUUUAUUUAAACAUUUAUGGCUUACAGAUGGGCAUGCGCAUGAUUAGCUAGUUGGAGAGGUAACGGCUCCCCAAGGCAACGAUCAUUAGGGGUUCUGAGAGGAAGGUCCCCCACACUGGUACUGAGACACGGACCAGACUCCUACGGGAGGCAGCAGUGAGGAAUAUUGGUCAAUGGACGAGAGUCUGAACCAGCCAAGUCGCGUGCAGGAAGAAUGUCCUUAAUGGAUUGUAAACUGCUUUUGCAGGGGAAUAAAGUGCAUCACGUGUGAUGUUUUGUAUGUACUCUGCGAAUAGGGAUCGGCUAACUCCGUGCCAGCCGCUGC
rnacentral:rRNA from 1 species